GAUGAACGCUGGCGGCGUGCCUAAUACAUGCCAGUCGAGCGAACAGACGAGGAGCUUGCUCCUCUGACGUUAGCGGCGGACGGGUGAGUAACACGUGGAUAACCUACCUAUAAGACUGGGAUAACUUCGGGAAACCGGAGCUAAUACCGGAUAAUAUAUUGAACCGCAUGGUUCAAUAGUGAAAGACGGUUUUGCUGUCACUUAUAGAUGGAUCCGCGCCGCAUUAGCUAGUUGGUAAGGUAACGGCUUACCAAGGCAACGAUGCGUAGCCGACCUGAGAGGGUGAUCGGCCACACUGGAACUGGGCCACGGUCCAGACUCCUACGGGAGGCAGCAGUAGGGAAUCUUCCGCAAUGGGCGAAAGCCUGACGGAGCAACGCCGCGUGAGUGAUGAAGGUCUUCGGAUCGUAAAACUUUGUUAUUAGGGAAGAACAAAUGUGUAAGUAACUAUGCACGUCUUGACGGUACCUAAUCAGAAAGCCACGGCUAACUACGUG
rnacentral:rRNA from 1 species